rnacentral:rRNA from 1 species
AUUGAACGCUGUCGGCAGGCCUAACACAUGCAAGUCGAACGAGAGGCGGACGGGUGAGUAAUGUCUGGGAAACUGCCUGAUGGAGGGGGAUAACUACUGGAAACGUUAGCUAAUACCGCAUACCCUCAGUUGUGCCCAGAUGGGUUUAGCUAGUAGGUGGGGUAAUGGUUCACCAAGGCGACGAUCCCUAGCUGGUCUGAGAGGAUGACCGGCCACACUGGAACUGAGACACGGUCCAGACUCCUACGGGAGGCAGCAGUGGGGAAUAUUGCACAAUGGGCGCAAGCCUGAUGCAGCCAUGCCGCGUGUGUGAAGAAGGCCUUCGGGUUGUAAAGCACUGUCGGCGGGGAGGCGUUACUCGCAGAAGAAGCACCGGCUAACUCCGUGCCAGCAGCCGCGGUAAUAC